GGGACAGAAUAUCUAAGGCUUUGUCCACAUCUGUAUCAUUUUCGCGAUCAGAUCUUCGUCGCGUAGCAUCGAAGCGUAUCAUGAUCGGUAGUGUGGACGUAAAAUGAUAGCGAUCAUCGGGGCGUAUCAUGAUCGCGAUCAUUUUGCGUCUACACUAGCGAUCAUG